UUUUCAGGUAGGUGAUGAGUCAUAGCUGAUGCGUUCGGUAGCUGUUGCUUUACUAUUUAUUUGGAGUCGCUCUGUUAGGAUGUUGUUGGGAAGAAACUUUAUUUAAUUAUGCUGCUAAAAUUUUAUAACAAUUGGACUAUGUCAUUUGAUUCAGUAUUUUCAAUUCGGACUUUGAAACUUAUAUUAUUUUUGUAUUUUCCGCUGCAUGAUUUUUUAAUCAUUUGAAGAAUUAGUUAAUUGAAGUAAGUGUGACA
rnacentral:lncRNA from 1 species